GUGGUCGCUGCAGCAACACAUAUACUAAAAUUGGAACGAUAGAAAGAAGAUUAGCAUGGCCCCUGCACAAGGAUGACAUGCUAAUUUGUGAAGCAUUCCAUAUUUUA
ensembl:snRNA U6 U6 spliceosomal RNA